rnacentral:RNase_P_RNA from 1 species
UGGGCUGGCCGGGCGACCGCGUGGAGGAGACUCCCCGAGGAAGGUCCGGGCUCCACAGGGCAAGGUGGUGGGUAACACCCACCCGGGGAAACCCGCGGGAAAGUGCCACAGAAAUCAGACCGCCCGCGCCGCGAGGCGCAGGUAAGGGUGAAACGGCGGUGUAAGAGACCACCAGCACACCGGGUGACCGGCGUGGCUAGGCAAACCCCACCUGGAGCAAGGUCAGACAGCGCACGUUCGAGGGCGGCCCGCCCGAGUGCGCGGGUAGACCGCUGGAGGCGGCCGGCAACGGUCGUCGUAGAUGGAUGGUCGCCCCCGUCGCGAGACGGGACAGAACCCGGCCUACAGGCCAGCCCGUCCC